UAGGGAAUAUUGCAUAAUGGGCGAAAGCCUGAUGCAGCAACGCCGCGUGUGCGAUGAAGGCCUUCGGGUUGUAAAGCACUUUUGACCCCCCCGAGGAAGGACGGUACCGGUGGAAUAAGCCUCGGCUAACUACGUGCCAGCAGCCGCGGUAAAACGUAGGAGGCGAGCGUUAUCCGGAUUUACUGGGUGUAAAGCGCGUGCAGGCGGUCAGCUAAGGUGGGUGUGAAAGCUCCUGGCUCAACUAGGAGAGGUCGCCCAAGACUGGCG
rnacentral:rRNA from 1 species